GAAGGCAGCUGUCAACCUUACGGGAAGCCCACUAUUAAAAGGAAACAAAAGUGUCAUUAGAAGUCCUGCGUCACUGUGGAUUGAGCCUGAGGGCAGACUGGGGGCGUGGACCUCCUCCACAGGACUGAGAAAGCAGCUGGAGGCCUUGACAGUGAGAGGGCCCCUGAGG
ensembl:misc_RNA